UACGAACCGUCCAAACGUUAUUCGGAAUUACUGGGCUUAAAGGGUUCGUAGGCGGCCAUGUAAGUGGGGUGUGAAAUCCCUCGGCUCAACCGAGGAAUAGCGCUCCAAACUACAUGGCUUGAGGGAGACAGGGGUAAGCGGAACUGAUGGUGGAGCGGUGAAAUGCGUUGAUAUCAUCAGGAACACCGGUGGCGAAAGCGGCUUACUGGGUCUCUUCUGACGCUGAGGAACGAAAGCUAGGGUAGCGAACGGG
rnacentral:rRNA from 1 species